GAUGAAGAACGUAGCGAAAUGCGAUACGUAAUGUGAAUUGCAGAAUUCAGUGAAUCAUCGAGUCUUUGAACGCACAUUGCGCCCCCUGGUAUUCCGGGGGGCAUGCCUGUCCGAGCGUCAUUGCUGCCCUCAAGCCCGGCUUGUGUGUUGAGUCUCGUCCCCCUUCCCGGGGGGACGGGCCCGAAAGGCAGCGGCGGCACCGCGUCCGGUCCUCGAGCGUAUGGGGCUUUGUCACCCGCUCUGUAGGCCCGGCCGGCGCUUGCCGAUCAACCAAAACUUUUUUCCAGGUUGACCUCGGAUCAGGUAGGGAUACCCGCUGAACUUAAGCAUAUCAAUAAGCGGAGGA
rnacentral:misc_RNA from 1 species